CAAAUUAAGCAAUAAUAAAAUAUGAAAGGUUGAUAUUUAGUUAUAUUCAAACAAUUAAAAAAUUGGUGGGCAAAUGAUAUGUGUAAAAGAAAUUCAAAGGUGAAUAUCCAUUUUUUCUGCAUUUUGAAGCAUUUUUUGCUUCCAAAUUACUUCCCUUGGAUUACUCUCUAGCGUUUGGAGGUACAAUGUGUAGGCACUUGUAGUGGUAAAUAAAUAGUUUGGUGAGAAAACUUAUCAAAGCGGGUCCGGGGUGAGGAAUGGCAGUGUGGAAGAAGGAAAAAAGGCCAAGAUAUAAUACAUAAGAAGACAAGAGGAUUCACCAAAGAGGAUGAAAAGGAAAAGGAACAAGAACAUAUACACAUAUAAAUCAUGGCUAUAAUAGAAUUCAAAUAAAACCUUGAAGUUAAUUUUGGAAAAGACAAUUUCAGGAAUUGGGACAGCUUAUAGAUGCAUUUCUCUUCAAGGUAGAAAAAAGUCAUCUUAAAUAUACAAGUGGAGAUGCAACAUCAUGAAGUUCAAAGUAAAGUGCAAAGCUGAAUAUCAUAAAAUCUCCAAACAACUAUGAAGCCUUAAAAGUUGGAGAUAUGGCAUUAAAUUUUUUCCUUAGAAAGUACCAUGAUGUCUGUUACUGAUAAUUUAGUUUCCCAAAUGAGGAGCAAUGUAGCUGGUUUUUCAGAGUGAUUUUCCUGAAGAUGAAAUUGGAAAUGAGAAUAUUCAUGUGUGUCUCCAUACUGGAAAUCCUCAAGAUUCAACCAUAUUUCUAAGUGACUCAGUGACGUCAUUAUUUAAGGAAGCUCUUAACAGCACACUAAUGAGCUCUACUUGAAGGAGUAAUUUAAUACAUUAAGAGUGAUCUCCCCUUAGAAGUCAGAUAGAAAAAAAAUGGUUGCUUACCAUUUAUUUCACAAUUUGUAAUAGAUUAAAAUAUUUUUACUAGCAUUAUCUUAGACAAAGAAUAAGUAAUUGAUUAAUAUUCACAUUAAUUUUCCCAAUAGUCAACAACAGGGUUUUCUUGUAGAAAUAAUGCAGGUACAUGUACUUGUGGAAAAUGAACUAAUAGUCUCAAUGUGCAUACCUUUAUAUGAUAUUUUUUUCCUUAAUUGAAAGUCUGCAGACCACUUCUUGAUACACAUGUAUUGUUUAGAGCUUCUUUAAAUUUCAUAUGAUAUGGUUUGCUAAUUAAAAUACAUUGUAGUUGAUAAUUUUGAUAAAGGUUGAAAAAAAAAUUCACAAGCUAACAGUACUUGUCUUAAU